rnacentral:rRNA from 1 species
GAUGAACGCUGGCGGCGUGCCUAAUACAUGCAAGUCGAGCGAACGGACGAGAAGCUUGCUUCUCUGAUGUUAGCGGCGGACGGGUGAGUAACACGUGGAUAACCUACCUAUAAGACUGGGAUAACUUCGGGAAACCGGAGCUAAUACCGGAUGAUAUUUUGAACCGCAUGGUUCAAAAGUAAAAGACGGUCUUGCUGUCACUUAUAGAUGGAUCCGCGCUGCAUUAGCUAGUUGGUAAGGUAACGGCUUACCAAGGCAACGAUGCAUAGCCGACCUGAGAGGGUGAUCGGCCACACUGGAACUGAGACACGCUCAAGACUCCUACGGGAGGCAGCAGUAGGGAAUCUGCCGCAAUGGGCGAAAGCCUGACGGAGCAACGCCGCGUGAGUGAUGAAGGUCUUCGGAUCGUAAAACUCUGUUAUUAGGGAAGAACAUAUGUGUAAGUAACUGUGCACAUCUUGACGGUACCUAAUCAGAAAGCCACGGCUAACUACGUG